UACGAAGGGGGCUAGCGUUGCUCGGAAUUACUGGGCGUAAAGGGCGCGUAGGCGGCACUGUUAGUCAGGCGUGAAAGUCCUGGGCUCAACCUGGGAACUGCGCUUGAUACGGCAGAGCUAGAGGAUGGAAGAGGGUCGCGGAAUUCCACGUGUAGCAGUGAAAUGCGUAGAGAUGUGGAGGAACACCGAUGGCGAAGGCAGCCCCCUGGGCUAACACUGACGCUCAUGCACGAAAGCGUGGGGAGCAAACAGG
rnacentral:rRNA from 1 species